rnacentral:rRNA from 1 species
UACGAAGGGGGCUAGCGUUGCUCGGAAUCACUGGGCGUAAAGGGUGCGUAGGCGGGUCUUUAAGUCAGGGGUGAAAUCCUGGAGCUCAACUCCAGAACUGCCUUUGAUACUGAAGAUCUUGAGUUCGGGAGAGGUGAGUGGAACUGCGAGUGUAGAGGUGAAAUUCGUAGAUAUUCGCAAGAACACCAGUGGCGAAGGCGGCUCACUGGCCCGAUACUGACGCUGAGGCACGAAAGCGUGGGGAGCAUACAGG